UCUGAUGUACUGUAGGGGGACCUCAAGCACAAUCACUGAACAUCAUACAGUACAGAGACACUCCCUGCUGUAACCGUUCAUAUCUGUAGCGUCACACCUCCAUCACACUGACUGACAGUGACUCUGGUCUCCAACUUCAUUUUGUUCAGAGCACAAUCAUGAUCACAGCUGGUCUGAUCGAACUCUCUGCAGCUCUGCUCUGGAUUGUAGGUCUAACUGAUGGGAGUGAUGUCAUCCAGGCCCCUCUGCUGUGGAGGGUGGAGGGUCAGUCUGCCACAAUGAACUGCAGCCACACUAAGGACAUCUCAUACCGAACGAUGUACUGGUACAGACAGCUGCCAGGAGAGGGAAUGAGGCAAAUAGUUUACACGACUCCAAAUCCUCCACAUGCAUAUGAAAGUGGCUUCAGUGUGGACAAAUUUCCUGCAACAAAGAGCGACGCUCACACUGGAUCUCUGACAGUGGAGAAGCUGCUGCCUGGGGACAGGGGAGUGUAUUUCUGUGCUGUGAGUGAACACAGUGAUGCAGGAGACUUAGACAGCUGCAUAAAUACUCAUGUGAAUAGAAGAGAGCUGUUUCUUUGGUGCACUACAGAGGGAGCUCUGGACUAA